rnacentral:rRNA from 1 species
AGUGAACGCUGGCGGCGUGCUUAACACAUGCAAGUCGAACGAGAACGGAAUAUAGCUUGCUAUAUUUGUCAGCUAAGUGGCGCACGGGUGAGUAAUGUAUAGAUAACCUGCCCUUAAGAAAGGAAUAACAGUUGGAAACGACUGCUAAUGCCCUAUAUGCCUUUAAUACAUAAGUAUGCAAGGGAAACGCUUUAGUGCUUAAGGAUGGGUCUGUAUGGUAUCAGCUUGUUGGUGAGGUAAUGGCUCACCAAGGCUAUGACGCCUAACUGGUUUGAGAGGAUGAGCAGUCACACUGGAGCUGAGACACGGUCCAGACUCCUACGGGAGGCAGCAGUGGGGAAUAUUGCACAAUGGACGAAAGUCUGAUGCAGCAACGCCGCGUGGAGGAUGACACAUUUCGGUGCGUAAACUCCUUUUAUAUAGGAAGAUAAUGACGGUACUAUAUGAAUAAGCACCGGCUAACUCCGUGCCAGCAGCCGCGGUAA